rnacentral:tRNA from 1 species
GGUUAGAUGGCUGAGUAUAGGCGGUAGAUUGUAAAUUUACAAACGGAUCAAUAUCCUCUAAUCA